rnacentral:rRNA from 1 species
CCCCUAGAUGUUCUGGGCCGCACGCGCGCUACACUGGACAGUUCAACAAGUCUUAACCUUGGCCGAUAGGUCUGGGUAAUCUUUGAACGCUGUUCGUGAUUGGGAUAGACCUUUGCAAUUAUGGGUCUUCAACGAGGAAUUCCUAGUAAACGCAAGUCAUCAGCUUGCAUUGAUUACGUCCCUGCCCUUUGUACACACCGCCCGUCGCACCUACCGAUUGAAUGGUCCGGUGAAGCCUCCGGAUUGGCGCGCACCUCGGUGCCGCCGAGAAGUUGGCUAAACCUUACCAUUUAGAGGAAGGUGAAGUCGUAACA